rnacentral:rRNA from 1 species
GACGAACGCUGGCGGCGUGCUUAACACAUGCAAGUCGAACGGAAAGGCCCUUCGGGGUACUCGAGUGGCGAACGGGUGAGUAACACGUGGGUGAUCUGCCCUGCACUUUGGGAUAAGCCUGGGAAACUGGGUCUAAUACCGAAUAGGACCGCAUGCUUCAUGGUGUGUGGUGGAAAGCUUUUGCGGUGUGGGAUGGGCCCGCGGCCUAUCAGCUUGUUGGUGGGGUAAUGGCCUACCAAGGCGACGACGGGUAGCCGGCCUGAGAGGGUGACCGGGCACACUGGGACUGAGAUACGGCCCAGACGCCUACGGGAGGCAGCAGUGGGGAAUAUUGCACAAUGGGCGCAAGGCUGAUGCAGCGACGCCGCGUGAGGGAUGACGGCCUUCGGGUUGUAAACCUCUUUCAGCAGGGACGAAGCGCAAGUGACGGUACCUGCAGAAGAAGGACCGGCCAACUACGUGCCAGCCGCCGCGGUAA